rfam:Medicago truncatula strain A17 chromosome 4, whole genome shotgun sequence.
UCACAUAAUUUAAGUUUAACCUCAAUAUUCUUUCGCAUUUUACUAAAGAAUAAUGUGUGCUUACUAUUUUAGGUGUCAUUCCUCCAUUUUUUGGAGGCGACCUUAAAAAUGUCCCU